AGCGUUUUAGGACAGGAGGAACUUGAUCCAGGGGAUAACGGAUGAAGAUGAUGACACCACAACAGGUUGCAAUGGAGCAGGGACUAGUGUUGAUUUUAAUCAUUGCAGGGACGUCUGACAUAUUGUCAGGAAUCUAUCUGAAAUCCAGGGGACAGGCAAGGGUCAUACACAAGAAGGCGUUACUUACAAAUCAGGAUGUUGGGCAAAUCUCGGAGGUCGGGGCACAGAGGAAAGGUCAUUGUCCAGACAUCAGAAGCUCUGCAGAACUCACACAAGGGCAAGGCAGGAUAGUCCAAAGCACAGAAACAAAGUUGUAACAAAGAAAUCAGGCAAGGGCAUGGAAGGACAUCUACUGGCAAUAAUCUGGCAGAGAGCAAUGGGCAGAAAAGUGUUUAAACAGAGCAGCUCACAGGAGAUGUUCAUGGAAGAAAGCAGCAACACAGAUAUGUGACUAUUUAUCUCGGACUGGUAUGCACUCUCCUUUUGGCUGGAAACAUUGGACAGGUUUGCUACUACAGGAUUAACCAUUCUGCACCAACACCCAAAUACAGCGCUCUGACGGAAAACCAAAAUGACGUCCAGACUGUGGAAACCGACUGAUCACAGAGUGAACAGAAUGCCUUAUUUGUAGAAAAGCAUCAAUUAGAGGUCCUGCUGAGGAACCUGACAGAAUACAAUGAGCAAUUACAGCAAAGUUACAGAUCCCAGACACCUGAAAGAGACAAGUUGGGGUCCAGUUUGGAGAAUGUGACAAACAACAGAAACCAACUCCAAAGCAGCUUAAAAACAGGAUGUGGCCAGUCAAAAGCAAGCUAGGAAGAGCUACAGAGGAGUUCUGAAGACUUACAAAGUGGUUAUUAUAACCUUACUGCAGAUUUAGCCCUGUUAAGCACCAAAUACAAAAUCAUGCAAAGGAAAAAUGAAGGAUUACAAACACAAUUGUCUGAUAAAGCCAAGAGAGAUCAAUUAGAAUGCAACUCUCUUUACUGUGGAAGAAGGACCAGCUGCAGGAAGGCCAUGUGAUGCUAAACAAAAGCAAAAUUCAAAUUGAGACAACCUACAGUUCACUUUGGAAAAAGAAAGAGUUAUUUCAAACAAGCUAUGAUAAGCUGAUGAAGGAAAAGAAGGAUUUACAGACAAGAGGCAAAAAUUUGACCAGCUCCACAGACCCGUUUAAGACCCGUUCAAGACUGAACUAAGCGAGCUGACCUGUCCAACACCUUGGAGGUUGAUUGAAAACAGGUUGAACAGAAAACAGAAGAGCCUGCAUCAUUGAGGGGGCGGACCUGUUGAUUGUAAACAGUCAUGAAGAACAGGAUUUUGCUUAUG